UACCGACUAAAACCCAACGAGCUCCUUUC
rnacentral:sRNA from 1 species